rnacentral:misc_RNA from 1 species
AGCAGCCGCGGUAAUUCCAGCUCCAAUAGCGUAUAUUAAAGUUGCUGCAGUUAAAAAGCUCGUAGUUGAAUUUCGGGAUCAAUAUGUCGGUCGUGCCUCGGUACGUACUGGCUUAUUGGUUUCUCCUUUCUGAAGAACCAUGAUGUCAUUUAUUUGGUGUCGUGGGAAAUCAGGACUGUUACUUUGAAAAAUUAGAGUGUUUAAAGCAGGCUCACGCUUGAAUACAUUAGCAUGGAAUAAUGAAAUAGGACGUUUGAUUCUAUUUUGUUGGUUUCUAGGAUCGACGUAAUGAUUAAUAGGGAUAGUUGGGGGCAUUAGUAUUCAAUUGUCAGAGGUGAAAUUCUUGGAUUUAUUGAAGACUAACUACUGCGAAAGCAUUUGCCAAGGAUGUUUUCAUUAAUCAAGAACGAAAGUUAGGGGAUCGAAGACGAUCAGAUACCGUCGUAGUCUUAACCAUAAACUAUGCCGACUAGGGAUCGGAUGAUGUUAAUUUUUAAUGACUCAUUCGG